GAACGGGUGAGUAAUAUAUCGGAACGUACCUGUGAGUGGGGGAUACGUAGCGAAAGUUACCGCUAAUACCGCAUACGAUCUAAGGAUGAAAGUGGGGGAUCGCAAGACCUCAUGCUCCCUGGAGCGGCCGAUAUCUGAUUAGCUAGUUGGUGGGGUAAAGGCCUACCAAGGCAUCGAUCAGUAGCUUGGUCUUGAGGAGGACGACCCAAGCCACACUGGAACUGAGACACGGUCCAGACUCCAUAACGGGAGGCAGCAGUGGGGAAUUUUGGACAAUGGGCGCAAGCCUGAUCCAGCAAUGCCGCGUGAGUGAAGAAGGCCUUCGGGUUGUAAAGCUCUUUUGUCAGGGAAGAAACGGUGGUUUCUAAAUACAGAUCACUAAUGACGGUACCCUGAAGAAUAAGCACCGGCUAACUACGGUGCCAGCAGGCCGCGGGUAAAUACGUAGGGGUGCAA
rnacentral:rRNA from 1 species